AUGAAAACAAAAACAAGGGAAAGAGAGAGAGAGAGAGAGAGAGAAAGAGUUGCAAGAUUUUUCUUCUGUAAGCCAAUGCACACGCAUACACACAAACGAAAAUAAACGGACGUUUGAGUAUGUGCGUUUCACCUCCUCCCCCUCCUUCUCCACUGCCACCUUCAACACUUUCUUUUUUUUUUUUUUCUUUUUUUUUUUUGUUGU
rnacentral:miRNA from 1 species